rnacentral:lncRNA from 1 species
UACAACAACAUGAUACAGAAACAACCGCUUUAUUAAUGCUAGCGGAUUACACGAGUCUGAUAUUACAUCGAGAUAAGGGGCCAAGCGGCACACAUGACACGGCUGAACAGUAUGUACAUUAUUUAAUGAACAUAAAUGGGCCUCGAUAACACGAACUACGCGGCAGCGAAAAAACGACGAAGUGGAACUCCAUAGCACAGGGACACCGACGUGGACACAGCCUAGACGCGGGAAGCUCUCCAAUGCGAGACGACUUGCCUGAAAACUGGCAUGACACGCCAGAUCAGUACAUUAAAUGUACUUGCAACCUCACAACAAACAUAAACAUAAUGACAAACAAUAUCAUGACCAUUAAUCAGGUUAAUGCAAUGCGAGCAAUACUACUAAUGCAGUGAAACCAAAAUAUGCACCGAGUCCCACGGACUCGCUUACCAGAUGGGUUACCUCGUAACCAAACGGUGAUCAUACCCGAAUCACAACUGAAACCAAUCACUCAAGAUCAGCUCAUGAUCUCCAGAUUCAUCAGUGCCAUCAACAGUUAGUUAGUGUGCAAGAUUAAUUAUAAAAGGUGAUCCAUGGUGUGACUUACUUCCGAGUUGUAUCCAUAACCGAGGACGCGACUAUCGAUAGAUUUAAUACACUCUGUAGAGGUAGUGCACUUUACCCACACCACGGAAUCCAGGACUCACCCUCCCAUUCGGGUGGACCAACGGCAUUUUGACAAAACCCUCCCCUUGUCAUGACACUCUCCCGGCCACUCCGACAAACUCCCUCUCAGGGUGGGUGGCCCCGUGUCUAGCAAAGACACCAACGGCCACCGUCGUGGCAAAACGGUCCCAAACGGGGACAGGGUACCAUAAAAACAAACGGACACACAAGGUUAUGUCUGCUUACUGGGCCAGGGUAUGCACGCCCAUAACCUUCCCUCAUUGAAGGCACCGGCAAGAGGCACAACAAAUGAUCGAAUCAAGACCUCCCACAAGGUAAAUGUGGUCGCACUGAGAAAACCCGAUUUAAAGGCACCAUGACUUGAUCAACAUCAUAUUCAAGUUGGACAUUAUUAACAGGUUUAACUUGAAUAAAAAUUUAAACUACCAAGUCAUACGAUGCCGUGAUCAUGCAACUACUCGACAUGCAAAGCAUGCAACUCCCAUGCACGGAUCAAACUUAUCAACAUAACGUUCUUGCACUACUCAAGAUUAAACUUUACUGGUUCUACCUCAAGUUUUAUUAUCAUGCAAUAUUUUUAUUGACUCAUAAUUUAUAUGAAAAUAUAACUAGCAAGAGAACUAUCAUUAUUUAUCAUAGCUAUAUAACUAAAGCAAAAUUUUAUUCUACUAAACCAAACUAGUCCAUGCAUUCAAUCAGUAACUUAAACAAGCAUUUCAAGCAUGACAAAAUAACUAGCAAGCAAUCAUAUCUUUCCCUAAUAAUAAACAAGCGAUUCCAUCCGUCAUCGGCCUUUUUGCAAAAAAGUCCGCCUGUUUCUGAGAAAUUAACCCGCCAUCCUACUUAAACUGUUGUACUGAUGGAUAACGUUUUGUUUUUUUGCAAAAACACCCCUGUGAUUUAGCACCGCUGCUUGCAUAAUCCCAAAUUGCUCCUUUUAACCUAAUCUGAUGGAUUCAUAUACCUGUGCCAUGGUGAUUCAACAAGAGGGAUUCAGCAAGAGGCGACAGAAAUCAUUAAAUAAAGGUGCAGAGGGUGAGGCAUAGGUGGUACCCUUCUUCCCAGGGAAGGGGAAGGGAACGAACGAACGAACUAGAAGGGGAAUGCAGGGUGAGGCAGACAUCAGAGGGAGAUGGGGUGAGGAAUAGACCGAAAGAAACCUGGGGCGGCCAAAAAGCUGCACAAGAUUUCAGAGAAUGACCAAAGGAAACCGGGGCGGCCCUUCAAACAACAGACUGCUCGGCUGCAUGGUAUAGCAAUCUAGAUGCAGACAUCACAGAUAGAUGGAGGGAGAAAUAGCGGCCUCCCUUGCAGUCCGGCAGUGGCAGUAGUGCCCUUGUUGAGACGGCGGCGGCGCCUGUUGAGACGGCGGCAGCGCCUUGCAGCACCCCGUCCUCCUCUUGCAACGGCAGCCCCGCGGCGUCUCCGGCUUGGUUACUCGGGAUUUGCAGCCAAGGGGGCUAUAUGGAAUUUGGGAAGAUGGAGAUACGGGAGGAUUUGUGAACUUGCUGGGGAAGAUGGAGGAGAUCGAGAUGGGGGGAGAGAGGAGAGCAAAGGGGAUCGACUGGUUUGGGGCUGGUUAAAGGAGACGAGCCGCUAGACGUUUGCAGAUCAAAGGAAAUGAAUGUGAAUCGCUGAGACGUGUCGCUGGUUGGGCUGAUACGUGUCGCUGGUUGGGCUUGGGUUGGGCGUGGGUCACGUGGCUGAUGUGUGUUGUUGUAUAAUCAGUUGGAUAGCCCUUUUUUUGUCUAAAAAAGUUGGAUCGCCUUUUUCUUUAAUUAACUUGUGAUGCGGCCGGCGGCGAGGUUUUUCCUUUUAAUUGCAAUUAGGGACUGUGUUUUUGUUUUAGCGAAACAGCUGAUGUCGAUAUGAAAUGCUUGUGUUUGGGCAAAGUUCAAAUAGUGCAAAAAAAGGAAUAACCAAAUAAAUAACAUUUUGUAAAACCCGCUUGCAUUUGAAUCUUUAAAAAAUAUAUUAAAAAAAUCCCGUUUCAAUGUAUCACCACUCUUUCACCCGAUGAUAGUGCGGAGCUGAAUGAGACAUUUUAAGAGAACAUGAAUGCGGCUUUAUAAAAAAAAUAAGCACUUACAAACAUCAAAAUCAUACCAUUAUCAACGACAAUGGCGAACAUGAAAAGUGACAACACGAAUGAGUCACUAGAAAUCAUUCGACGAUUAAAUUGCUGCAUCUAAAGGGUAAAGGAAAACAUUUUACUUGAAACACAAUAUCAAUAGAUGCAGAGGCGUACAUACACUCACUCUUAUAAAUGCACAGACACGCACAUCCUAUCUAUUUGAG